UAAGCAAAAUCCAGCUCCUCUCUGCAAGCACUGCAAAUGGAGAGUGCUGGAAUUCUCCCCUCUGGUUGCAUGUUGGAGCUGUCAAUGAGCAUAGCACAAGAACAGAAAUUGAUCAGAGACACUGAAUUAGCCCAGCAACUUCUAGACUUGCAAAUGUUAGUAGUGGGAAAGUUUCCAGAACAACUUUGCUUGAAUGCACCCAAGAGCCGCUCUCCCUCUGCACUGCCAUUAUUUCACUGACGUCUUCCUUAUUGUUUCAAGAGGCAGUCAGUUUGUGAUUUCAUGUCCUGAUUGCCUUCCUCUUUGUUUCCCUUUUCUGAAUAACAUUUUCUUUUGGAUGGCUUGGCAAGCAGGUCAUUAAGCGUAGAAGAGGCAGAACUUUGUUCAUGUGCUCAAAGUGCUUGGAGUCCAGCAUUUCUUCUACAGUGUCUUCGAGAUCUCAUCCCAAAAUGUUCAUUGUGGGCCACCUCAUGCUCCUUGCAAUUGGUGUCUCCCUCCACACAGCACCAUCAGAAGGAGAGCUGAUAAGAACAUAUCGAGGAUGUCAUGGUAAGUCUGAAUGUGGUAAGAAAAGAACCUUCCCUCCUUCAAGAAGUAGUGAAGUCGUCUGUUGCCAUGAUCGUGACUUCUGCAAUGAAAACUUAUAGAGAGGUGCCUGAAGAUCUUCAUCAAGCAUGGCUAUGCCAAUUAUCUUCUUAUUUGACCUUUGCUCUCCUUGAACCAAUGAAUCCUAACCAUGCUUGUCUGGGAGACUCCCUGCAUUCUUAAGAAUUAAAGUGUAGAAUUGUUCAGAAGUCCAAGAUUAUACUGUGCUUUUAAAAAGGGGGUAGCUUUAUACAGUUUAGAAUACAAAUUUGGGAACACGUAUCCCAUGCAGACAAUCUCUUUGAAAAGAAAAGAAUAGAACAUCAUGGGAUUUUGUAGGGCGAUUGGACAACAACUCCCUGAAUUCUCCAAGCAACAUGUUGCCUGGAGCAUACUGGGGAUUGUAGU
rnacentral:lncRNA from 1 species